AUGCUGCUUGUUGAGCUGCCUGCUGCAAGGCUAAUGAGACUUCUUGGAAGAUCAAAUCUAAAUGAAAUGAUGGGAUACCAAGAAAGGGUCUCUACACAAGAAAUGAAUGACUUUGGAGUAGAGAGCAGCGAGAACAGGAUCCAACCCAGCUGCCCAAAAGGCAAAGCCACAUCUACUGAAGGAAUGGUCAGCCCAUCCUGGAAGGAGCUGGUGCCAGAAGGCAAUAAACAGGAGGAGGAAAGGCAACCACAACUGAUGUGAAUGGUUUCUCAGGGGGAGCAGGCUGGCCUGGAUCCCUUGGGAACCAAAACUGUUGGCAGGGGGACAACAGGAGCCACUGUCCUCUGAGGGCUGGAGAGAAGGUGAAGGAUGAGUGGUGGGAUGGACUGUGCUGGAGUCAGCAGGUGUUCCCUGCUGGGUGUGGGAGGGCCAUAUCAAACUGGACAAGGAAAAGUGUCUGUGCAGUUCAAGAAGCUGCAGAUCAAGGCAACCUAGGGACAAAGAGAACACAAGAAGGGUGGAUCACUUUGUUGAACCCUCCAGAGGUGAAUUAGUGGCCCAGGGUGAGACAGAGGCAUUGAAGUGUCUUCUAUUAACUUUUCCAAAGUGGGUACAAGGAGAGAGGGGAUUCCCUGCAGAAGGAGCUGUCAGAGAAGUCAUGAAGGAAUGCUUAGGGGGAAGUGCCAGCAGCUGAAGGCAACAGACCUAAAGUGCUUCUGUUGAGAUUUUUGAGAAUUAUGUGUGUGAAAGAACAUUUUCAUUGGUUUGCAGCUCUGCUAAGCAGUUUUCCAAAUGAGAUGCUUUGAUUCUUAUUGUCACAUAUUAGCUUCAGAGAUUUAAGUGUUCUCCUUUUGCAGGCUAGAAAUGCAUAAAAAUAUAUCAAUAAUGUCUGGAAAGCAGCUUCUCACUGAGUAUUUUGUAGUAAUAUUUAAAAAAAGAAAUUAUAAUUAAACCUUUAUGUGUAUCCACCUUUAUAGUCUACAUACAUCUCUAAAUGCAUUAAUUGCUUGGAGUCCAGAUUUGCCUCAGUGCAGUAAUUGCAAUUCCAAAAUAUUGGUUGAAAGUCUACUUCUAAUGCUGCCUCAGACUGUGGAAUAAAGAAAUAAAAUUACUCCA
rnacentral:lncRNA from 1 species